AUCACUUCUCAGCCUUUUGGCUAAGAUCAAGUGUAGUAUGUAUAUACACAUCCCCAAAAUGAAUAGACCAAACUUUUGAUUUGGAAAUUACUUUUU
rnacentral:snRNA from 1 species